rnacentral:rRNA from 1 species
UACGAAGGGUGCAAACGUUGCUUGGAAUUAUUGGGCGUAAAGAGCUCGUAGGCGGUCUGUUACGUCUGCUGUGAAAACCCGGGGCUUAACCCUGGGCUUGCAGUGGAUACGGGCAGACUAGAGGCAGGUAGGGGAGAAUGGAAUUCCCGGUGUAGCGGUGAAAUGCGCAGAUAUCGGGAGGAACACCGGUGGCGAAGGCGGUUCUCUGGGCCUGAUCUGACGCUGAGGAGCGAAAGCGUGGGGAGCGAACAGG